AUUCGUGGUACUGGAAUACGAGGGAAAAUUUCUCUGCGGAAAUUAUAUACCUCUUCGGUAAAAUAUUAUGGGAGGGGAUCAACGACCACUAGGUAAUGCGACUUUACCCCCGGAUAGUUUACGGAGGGGUAUAAUAAUUCCUCUGGUGAUAUUCAAGGGGUUUAAAUAGAACAUGAAUCAAUUUUCAUUUGGUCACACCGGUCCACUUGACGAUAGUGUUAGAUACGAACGGUGAUAGCGUUGAUUCCACGAAACUGUUCACUAAAACAAUAGUGACUGCAGCGUCCACGCGAUGAUAGUAGCAAAAUGACGCGAAAACG